GAUGAACGCUGGCGGCGUGCCUAACACAUGCAAGUCGAACGAAGCACCUGAUACGGAAUCCUUCGGGGUGAAGAAUCUUGUGACUUAGUGGCGGACGGGUGAGUAACGCGUGGGUAACCUGCCUCAUGCAGGGGGGAUAACAGUUAGAAAUGACUGCUAAUACCGCAUAAGCGCACAGUACCGCAUGGUACAGUGUGAAAAGNUUUAUCAGCAUGAGAUGGACCCGCGUCUGAUUAGCUAGUUGGUGAGGUAACGGCUCACCAAGGCGACGAUCAGUAGCCGACUUGAGAGGUUGAACGGCCACAUUGGGACUGAGACAGGCCCAGACUCCUACGGGAGGCAGCAGUGGGAAUAUUGCACAAUGGGCGAAAGCC
rnacentral:rRNA from 1 species